AUACGGGAGGCAGCAGUGAGGAAUAUUGGUCAAUGGGCGCAAGCCUGAACCAGCCAUCCCGCGUGCAGGAAGACGGCGCUAUGCGUUGUAAACUGCUUUUCCAGGGGGUGAAACUUUCGCACGCGUGCGGAAUUGACGGUACCCUGGGAAUAAGCAUCGGCUAACUCCGUGCCAGCAGCCGCGGUAAUACGGAGGAUGCGAGCGUUAUCCGGAUUUAUUGGGUUUAAAGGGUGCGUAGGCGGAUUAAUAAGUCAGAGGUGAAACCCUGCAGCUUAACUGUAGACUUGCCUUUGAUACUGUUGAUCUUGAGUGUGGUCAAGGUAGGCGGAAUGUGUAAUGUAGCGGUGAAAUGCUUAGAUAUUACACAGAACACCGAUUGCGAAGGCAGCUUGCUGGACCAUUACUGACGCUGAUGCACGAAAGCGUGGGGAUCGAACAGGAUUAGAUACCCCGGUAGC
rnacentral:rRNA from 1 species